rnacentral:rRNA from 1 species
UUACCUGGCCUUGACAUACUAAGAACUUCCAGAGAUGGGAUUGGUGCCUUCGGGAACUUAGAUACAGGUGCUGCAUGGCUGUCGUCAGCUCGUGUCGUGAGAUGUUGGGUUAAGUCCCGCAACGAGCGCAACCCUUUUCCUUAUUUGCCAGCGGGUUAAGCCGGGAACUUUAAGGAUACUGCCAGUGACAAACUGGAGGAAGGCGGGGACGACGUCAAGUCAUCAUGGCCCUUACGGCCAGGGCUACACACGUGCUACAAUGGUCGGUACAAAGGGUUGCUACCUCGCGAGAGGAUGCUAAUCUCAAAAAGCCGAUCGUAGUCCGGAUCGCAGUCUGCAACUCGACUGCGUGAAGUCGGAAUCGCUAGUAAUCGCGGAUCAGAAUGCCGCGGUGAAUACGUUCCCGGGCCUUGUACACACCGCCCGUCACACCAUGGGAGUUUGUUGCACCAGAAGUAGGUAGUCUAACCGCAAGGAGGACGCUUACCACGGUGUGGCCGAUGACUGGGGUGAAGUCGUAACAAGGUAGGCGUAGAUGA